rnacentral:rRNA from 1 species
UACGGAGGGGGCAAGCGUUAUCCGGAUUUACUGGGUUUAAAGGGUGCGUAGGUGGGCAGGUAAGUCAGUGGUGAAAUCUCCGGGCUUAACUCGGAAACUGCCAUUGAUACUAUCUGUCUUGAAUAUCCUGGAGGUAAGCGGAAUAUGUCAUGUAGCGGUGAAAUGCUUAGAUAUGACAUAGAACACCCAUUGCGAAGGCAGCUUACUACGGGAUUAUUGACACUGAGGCACGAAAGCGUGGGGAUCAAACAGG